rnacentral:rRNA from 1 species
UACGAAGGGGGCUAGCGUUGUUCGGAAUUACUGGGCGUAAAGGGCGCGCAGGCGGCUGCUCAAGUCAGGCGUGAAAUCCCCGGGCUCAACCCGGGAACUGCGUCCGAUACUGGCAGGCUUGAAUCCGGGAGAGGGAUGUGGAAUUCCAGGUGUAGCGGUGAAAUGCGUAGAUAUCUGGAGGAAUACCGGUGGCGAAGGCGGCAUCCUGGACCGGCAUUGACGCUGAGGAGCGAAAGCCAGGGGAGCAAACGGG